rnacentral:rRNA from 1 species
GAUGAACGCUGGCGGCGUGCCUAAUACAUGCAAGUCGAGCGAACGGACGAGAAGCUUGCUUCUCUGAUGUUAGCGGCGGACGGGUGAGUAACACGUGGAUAACCUACCUAUAAGACUGGGAUAACUUCGGGAAACCGGAGCUAAUACCGGAUAAUAUUAUGAACCGCAUGGUUCAAAAGUGAAAGACGGUCUUGCUGUCACUUAUAGAUGGAUCCGCGCUGCAUUAGCUAGUUGGUAAGGUAACGGCUUACCAAGGCAACGAUGCAUAGCCGACCUGAGAGGGUGAUCGGCCACACUGGAACUGAGACACGGUCCAGACUCCUACGGGAGGCAGCAGUAGGGAAUCGUCCGCAAUGGGCGAAAGCCUGACGGAGCAACGCCGCGUGAGUGAUGAAGGUCUUCGGAUCGUAAAACUCUGUUAUUAGGGAAGAACAUAUGUGUAAGUAACUGUGCACAUCGUGACGGUACCUAAUCAGAAAGCCACGGCUAACUACGUG